CACGCCAUAAACGAUGAGCACUAGGUGUCGCGGGUAUUGACCCCUGCGGUGCCGCCGCUAACGCAUUAAGUGCUCCGCCUGGGGANAACGCGCAGAACCUUACCUGGGCUAGACAACAUCGGACAGUCCUGGAGACAGGAUCUUCCCUUCGGGGACCGGUGGUUCAGGUGC
rnacentral:rRNA from 1 species